AUUGAACGCUGGCGGCAUGCCUUACACAUGCAAGUCGAACGGCAGCACGGGAGCAAUCCUGGUGGCGAGUGGCGAACGGGUGAGUAAUGUAUCGGAACGUGCCCAGUCGUGGGGGAUAACGUAGCGAAAGCUACGCUAAUACCGCAUACGAUCUAUGGAUGAAAGGGGGGGAUCGCAAGACCUCGCGCGAUUGGAGCGGCCGAUAUCAGAUUAGGUAGUUGGUGGGGUAAAGGCCCACCAAACCUGCGAUCUGUAGCUGGUCUGAGAGGACGACCAGUCAAAAGGGAACUGGGACCCGGUCCAGACUCCUACGGGAGGCAGCAGUGGGGAAUUUUGGACAAUGGGCGCAAGCCUGAUCCAGCAAUGCCGCGUGCAGGAUGAAGGCCUUCGGGUUGUAAACUGCUUUUGUACGGAACGAAACGGCUAUUUCUAAUACAGAGAGCUAAUGACGGUACCGUAAGAAUAAGCACCGGCUAACUACGUGCCAGCCGCCGCAGUAA
rnacentral:rRNA from 1 species